GACGAACGCUGGCGGCGUGCUUAACACAUGCAAGUCGUACGGUAAGGCCCUUUCGGGGGUCCACGAGUGGCGAACGGGUGAGUAACACGUGAGUAACCUGCCCACAACUUUGGGAUAACGCUAGGAAACUGGUGCUAAUACUGGAUAUGUGCUCCUGCUGCAUGGUGGGGGUUGGAAAGCUCCGGCGGUUGUGGAUGGACUCGCGGCCUAUCAGCUUGUUGGUGGGGUAGUGGCCUACCAAGGCGGCGACGGGUAGCCGGCCUGGGAGGGUGACCGGCCACAUUGGGACUGAGAUACGGCCCAGACUCCUACGGGAGGCAGCAGUGGGGAAUAUUGCACAAUGGGCGCAAGCCUGAUGCAGCAACGCCGCGUGCGGGAUGACGGCCUUCGGGUUGGAAACCGCGUUCAGCAGGGACGAAGCUUUUUGUGACGGUACCUGCAGAAGAAGCACCGGCUAACUACGUG
rnacentral:rRNA from 1 species